AAAAAAUCCAUCUUCACCCAUGGAGGGCUCCGCGCAGACUGUGCUCUGCAGGGCGGGGGAAGGCUUAUAAAGCCUUCCCCCGCCCUGCAAUUAGGCUAAGAACACUCUGAUUGGUUGGUUUAAGCCAAUCAGAGUACUCUUUGUCAUUUUACAUAGCGUGGGAAAGUUCCAAAUUUAAUUUGACUCAUAACACUCUGAUUGGUGAGCUUGAAAUCCAUCCAAUCAGAGUGCUCUGUGUCAUUUUACACAGUGUGGGAAACUUGUCGUCCCCCUCUCAUUAGCUUUAUGGCCCCCACACAUCACCCAGGGGUGGUGCUCACUGGCUGCUCACUGUUUACUAGACAUGCCCCUACUCACGGUAUAGCCAGUAGGGGCAGAAUUUACUAAUACUAAGUAAUCUUUACUUAGUAUUAGUAAAUGUGGCUGAAAGACCAAUUUAGGUCUUUCAGCCUUUUGGUAGAUAGCUCCCUAAUACCGUGGGAAUUAGGGAGUUAUCUACUAAGCGGCUGCAAAAUGCAGCCACAGCACGAAUAGGAU